GUUGCAGUUACAUCGACGUUCGAGUGAGCAGCAGACAUAUACGAUCGAGUGGCAGAUCGAGCAGAAGGGAAGCGAAGCAGAACUACCUGUCACUCGAUGCACUCACUCGAGUGACAUGAUCGAGCAAAGCAAAGAAGUAGCUGAUGGUUUUACAGGUCACUCGACACGAUCACUCGAGUGACACGAUCGAGCAAAGCAGAGAAGAUGGUGACUCGAGAUGCUCACUCGACCAACUUAGUCAAAACAACCUUUGAACCGCUUUUACGUUGUCGUUUUUUGUUUUAAGGUUUUCCCAAACAUUGUUAUAAAUAAGCUUCAUUUGGAUUGCCCAAGGGAUCAAGUUUUAUUUUAUUAGGUUUUUGUUGUUAGCCACCAAACGAUCCUGAGAAUUGUAAUCGUGAUUUCUUUGGAGUUAUUGAUAUUUUGCAGUUAGUUCUUGAA
rnacentral:lncRNA from 1 species